UCCCAUGCUAUCAAAAUAAAUGUUGAGAGAAAUUACAGUGCAUUAUGUUAUACUGCAGAAAGGCUCCAUGAUUUUCAUAAUCACAUGGUGUUAUCCGACGUGUAUAUAUUACAAAGAUUUUUACUGGAAUCAUCCAAUUUAAUGAAAUUUCACUCGCUUCUCGGUCUUUUAAGCUAUAAUGCAUUAGGCCUUCUUGCUAAAUUAAUUACUGAGGAUGCAAAGAACUUUGAGGGAACCUGUCCAGGAAACUUUGAGGGAACCUGUCCAGGGAUAAAAAUAUUUAUAAAAAAUCAUUUCUCAAAUGACUUUUCAGCUGCUAAAGGGGCAUUGGUAGCAACUCUUGAGCAAUUAUAUGAAAUGUUGAAAAGUCCUGAGAAUUAUAAUGAGAAACAACCAAACGUAAUGACUCCUGCUUCAUCUGCUCUACCUUCCAUACACAAAGGGUUGGAGCUACUUCACAUUACCCUUCAGAAUGAUAUCUUAAAAGCUCUUUGGUCAAUCCCAAAGAUUACUUCUGAUCAGAUGAAAGCUUUGCAAGCUAUUCUGGGUGUCAAAUUAGAAGAUGAUUCAAGCAGCUUUUUGAAUGAUCUUAAGCAAUAUUUGAUGCAAUAUUUGUUGGAAUGUGAUGAAAUAAAGAUCCCAAGUGCUGUUUCUGAUGUUUUAGCAGUUCUAAACCAGAGUCCUAGUAAUCAUUCUCAAACUUGUUCGAAGGAGAUGAUUGAAGUAGAGAUGGAGGCGGUACUUAAUGUGAGCGUUGGACUUUAUCAAAUUGUCUCGCACUUUGUCUCAUGCAUGAGCACUGAUGAGAAGGCGGAAGUGGGUCUAGAAAGCUACGAUGAUACUAUGAGUAAUGAUUUUGAGCUCAUCGAGAAUGCCUACUGUUCCAGUAUUGUCAAGUAUGGAUGGCAGCGGAAGAAUGAUUUUUCCAUGCACGGUGAACUUGAUAGCACGGGGGAUUCAAUGCCUGAAACUUGCAGAAUUUCUGCUAAUAGUGAUAGUUGCAGUAAGAGUAUCAAACAUGAUUUUGUGAAGAAGGUCAAGAAGGAGCAAGAUGACGAUAUUGAUGAUCAAAUUCCCCAUUAUAAAAAGUCUAUGGAAGCAUCGCUUCGAAGUACACAAGCGCCAAAAGAUUGUAGAGAUAUCUCAAUCAAAGAACUUUGUGAUGAGACAAGUUUAGUUUCUUAUAGACUUAUUGGUCACAUGUUGAAUAGUUUUUUGCUUGUAAAAGGUGAAGAUGUGGGUGUUACGACUAGGUAUCAUCUCACCGGUGAAGUAUUGCAUUCUACAAUUUUUGAAGAUAAGAAAGAUGUGUUAGGUUUAUCUGGGGAGAAUGUUGGCAUUAAGGCUCUUAUGCAUUCCGUAAAGGAUCUGUUACCUUCCAUGCCAGAGAGAUGCAUGCAGAGAGUGGAGAAGCUUAUGAAGCAGCCUACAUUAAUUAAUUAAUUUUUAAAGUUUUUGAUGGAGUAUGUUAUUUCGUGAAUCAAUAAUUAGAGUCAGAAGUCCUAUUUUUCCGAGCGCUGGAUCUUGACCGUAUAUCACUAGACUGUAGGAAUAACUCACAGAGAAAGCAGGAAGCAUCCUUUGCAAGGGCUGCAUCUCCUUGGCUGGUUCCUUGCGGGUUGAGAAAAAAAGUUCGAUGUUGUUGUGAUGGAGAAUAUGUCUUGCAGGUUGUUGAUUGCUUUCACAACAGGUGGUUGCUUAGGCUCGAGGGGAAAAAGUAUUACAUCCAGACUCUGAAUGCAUCCGAAGUUCAAUGGUGGAGAGCCACGUGUUAAGUGGGCCCCACCGCUUUGAACACUGACCAAUGGUGGAGUGCCACGUGUCAAAUGGGCCCCUGACACCCAACCAUUGGACUCCGAAGCAAACUGCGUCCAGAGUCCGCAUGUAAUAUUUUCUCGCUGGAGAGAGUCUCAAAAUUUGCACUGGCUGCUUGAGCUGCCUCCUUGAGUUCACGAAGGGUCACGACAAAGCUAUUGAGGGUGAGGGGUUAGCUAGAGGUGGUGAAAUUGGGGUAUUAAGGAUUUUAGGGGGGGUAUGUAUGUAAUAUUGCUGUUACUGGAAUUCCAAAGCGUGUUUUGAGCAAUUUCUUGCUGUGAUUCUGAUUAUUUCUCAACAAAUCUAACACGAAGUAUGAAUGAUAUUUAUCAACCGAAG